GACGAACGCUGUCGGCGUGCUUAACACAUGCAAGUCGAACGGAAAGGCCCUGCUUGCAGGGUACUCGAGUGGCGAACGGGUGAGUAACACGUGGGUGAUCUGCCCUGCACUUCGGGAUAAGCUUGGGAAACUGGGUCUAAUACCGGAUAGGAGCCAUCUUUAGUGUGGUGGUUGGAAAGUUUUUUCGGUGUAGGAUGAGCUCGCGGCCUAUCAGCUUGUUGGUGGGGUAAUGGCCUACCAAGGCGGCGACGGGUAGCCGGCCUGAGAGGGUGUACGGCCACAUUGGGACUGAGAUACAGCCCAGACUCCUGCGGGAGGCAGCAGUGGGGAAUAUUGCACAAUGGGAGCAAGCCUGAGGCAGCGACGCCGCGUGGGGGAUGAAGGCCUUCGGGUUGUAAACACCUUUCGCUAGGGACGAAGCUUUUUUGUGACGGUACCUAGAUAAGAAGCACCGGCUAACUACGUG
rnacentral:rRNA from 1 species